rnacentral:rRNA from 1 species
GACGAACGCUGGCGGCGUGCCUAAUACAUGCAAGUAGAACGCACAGUUUAUACCGUAGCUUGCUACACCAUAGACUGUGAGUUGCGAACGGGUGAGUAACGCGUAGGUAACCUGCCUGGUAGCGGGGGAUAACUAUUGGAAACGAUAGCUAAUACCGCAUAAUAUUGAUUAUUGCAUGAUAAUUGAUUGAAAGAUGCUAUUGCAUCACUACCAGAUGGACCUGCGUUGUAUUAGCUAGUAGGUGAGGUAACGGCUCACCUAGGCGACGAUACAUAGCCGACCUGAGAGGGUGAUCGGCCACACUGGGACUGAGACACGGCCCAGACUCCUACGGGAGGCAGCAGUAGGGAAUCUUCGGCAAUGGACGAAAGUCUGACCGAGCAACGCCGCGUGAGUGAAGAAGGUUUUCGGAUCGUAAAGCUCUGUUGUAAGAGAAGAACGGGCGUGAGAGUGGAAAGUUCACACUGUGACGGUAUCUUACCAGAAAGGGACGGCUAACUACGUG